AUCCUAGCAAGGAUUGACGCACGUCUCUUGUAAGUCGACUCGAAACAGGCGGAUAGACGAUAAGGAAAAGCGACGAAAAGACAGCGAGAUACGGGAGGCAAGUCGUUCGAGGUGGACUGACACCCCAGCCUCGAACCUACCGCCACACACAAUCAGCUGGCACACAUAGCUGAGUUAGCGACCGAACGCAUCGCGCGCGCAUUCAGGCACGCGAAAAAAAAAACGAAAGCAAAGCGUGAAGCAAAAGGAGGACACACCUUUCUCAACUACAUUUUGGCACAGGGCGCGCCUUGGAUAGUGAGCACUGACGACUAGCGCUCGCGCUCUCUUCUUCCUUACCUCCUUCCUCCGCCGGCAGGCGAGUGUGCACGAGCCGCCGCGGGCAAAAAGAAAAGAGGACGCGCUCUUUUCUUUGCUCCUUUUAGCUUUUUUUUUGUGCGCUGCUCUCUGUGCAUCAUGGCGCGACGCGAUUGGUGGUGGGUGUGGAGGGCGAUUGGGUCUACAGCGUCGAGUGGAGACGACAUCGUCGCUCCGGGUGCCGGCGUUGCUUCUGGUCUCCCUUUUGUCGCAGGGCUCCAGUGGCCUCGCGGCUCCUUCUCUCUCUUUAUUUCCACUGUCUGUGCCUCCCGAGUAGGUCUCGCCCAUGCGAGUUCCUUGAUGUCGUCACCCGGUUACGACAGGACGCUGCAAGGACGGGUGGCCCCGCCCUCUCGCCCGUACACAGGCACGAGCAUAUACGGGUACCGAUGCGCCUGUGCAAGAAGCGGCGCUCUGUUCCCGCCGGCGCGGCCCUCGCUGUAGGCGGCAUAACCGCACACACCAGCCCGGCAGUCGGAUCGGUGGAGACGAAUGCGCGGACUCGCUGACUCGCCUCGGUGCAACUCUCUCACUCCUCUUCUCUCUCUUUCUCUCUCUCACGCUGGGGAAAG
rnacentral:misc_RNA from 1 species